UUGAAGCCCUUGCUUUAGGGAACUGAUGGUCUUCAAAGCCGUGGGUUUGGAUGGGGUGUAAUAGUUGUUCGGUCCUGCGUGGUCCGUCUCUACCUUCAGCCUCCAGAGUGAGUACCCUUAUAUUAUAGAGAAUCCUUUGAAAACGUCACACCGAGACCUCAUCUAGAGAACCUCCAGACAAGUCCUCCAGAACCUCCAGCAGCAUCUAGAGAACCUCCAGAAGAAGUCCUCUAGCUGAAGGUGUCGGACUGCGGCAGAAGGAAUGCAGCGGAUGGACAUGGAUAAAGACGUGAUCCGAAACCUCAUGGUUCCUCAAGGGGGGGUGAAGGAACGGUGCUGGCCCUACAGGUGUCUGACCGCUGGGCUGCUGCUGCUGUGUGCCUGAUCCCUGGCUGGAAACGUAACUCAGUUUUACUAUGGAGGUGGUGUGGUCCAGAGGCUUCACCAACUACAGGAGAGAUACAGGAACCUGACGAGGAACAGCACCGGUCUGCACGAUAGAUACCAGACUCUGGCUGCCGAGAGAGCCAGUCUUCAACAAAGUUACCACGCUUUGACCCAAGAGAGAGACCAGCUACAGGGACAGGCUAGCACCCUUACCUCAGAGAGAGACCAGCUACAAGUCCAGUUUGGCACCCUUACUAAAGAGCAGGGACGUGCACAGGAAUUUUG